GGUUAAGCGACUAAGCGUACACGGUGGAUGCCCUGGCAGUCAGAGGCGAUGAAGGACGUGCUAAUCUGCGAUAAGCGCCGGUAAGGUGAUAUGAACCGUUAUAACCGGCGAUUUCCGAAUGGGGAAACCCAGUGUGAUUCGUCACACUAUCAUUAACUGAAUCCAUAGGUUAAUGAGGCGAACCGGGGGAACUGAAACAUCUAAGUACCCCGAGGAAAAGAAAUCAACCGAGAUUCCCCCAGUAGCGGCGAGCGAACGGGGAGGAGCCCAGAGCCUGAAUCAGCAUGUGUGUUAGUGGAAGCGUCUGGAAAGGCGCGCGAUACAGGGUGACAGCCCCGUACACAAAAGCGCAUGUGCUGUGAGCUCGAUGAGUAGGGCGGGACACGUGGUAUCCUGUCUGAAUAUGGGGGGACCAUCCUCCAAGGCUAAAUACUCCUGACUGACCGAUAGUGAACCAGUACCGUGAGGGAAAGGCGAAAAGAACCCCGGCGAGGGGAGUGAAAAAGAACCUGAAACCGUGUACGUACAAGCAGUGGGAGCCCCACCACUAAGCCAGUGGUGAACUCUACAUACGCAUCCUUUGCUGAGGAUACGGUUAACGGAGCGAAAGCGACGUUCAACCUCAAAAGAAGCAGAGGGGGCUUAGUGGUGGGGUGACUGCGUACCUUUUGUAUAAUGGGUCAGCGACUUAUAUUCUGUAGCAAGGUUAACCGUAUAGGGGAGCCGUAGGGAAACCGAGUCUUAACCGGGCGUUAAGUUGCAGGGUAUAGACCCGAAACCCGGUGAUCUAGCCAUGGGCAGGUUGAAGGUUGGGUAACACUAACUGGAGGACCGAACCGACUAAUGUUGAAAAAUUAGCGGAUGACCUGUGGCUGGGGGUGAAAGGCCAAUCAAACCGGGAGAUAGCUGGUUCUCCCCGAAAGCUAUUUAGGUAGCGCCUCGUGAAUUCAUCUCCGGGGGUAGAGCACUGUUUCGGCUAGGGGGCCAUCCCGGCUUACCAACCCGAUGCAAACUGCGAAUACCGGAGAAUGUUAUCACGGGAGACACACGGCGGGUGCUAACGUCCGUCGUGAAGAGGGAAACAACCCAGACCGCCAGCUAAGGUCCCAAAGUCAUGGUUAAGUGGGAAACGAUGUGGGAAGGCCCAGACAGCCAGGAUGUUGGCUUAGAAGCAGCCAUCAUUUAAAGAAAGCGUAAUAGCUCACUGGUCGAGUCGGCCUGCGCGGAAGAUGUAACGGGGCUAAACCAUGCACCGAAGCUGCGGCAGCGACACUGUGUGUUGUUGGGUAGGGGAGCGUUCUGUAAGCCUGUGAAGGUGUGUCGUGAGGCAUGCUGGAGGUAUCAGAAGUGCGAAUGCUGACAUAAGUAACGAUAAAGCGGGUGAAAAGCCCGCUCGCCGGAAGACCAAGGGUUCCUGUCCAACGUUAAUCGGGGCAGGGUGAGUCGACCCCUAAGGCGAGGCCGAAAGGCGUAGUCGAUGGGAAACGGGUUAAUAUUCCCGUACUUGGUGUUACUGCGAAGGGGGGACGGAGAAGGCUAUGUUGGCCGGGCGACGGUUGUCCCGGUUUAAGCGUGUAGGUGUGUGUUCCAGGUAAAUCCGGUUCACUUUAACACUGAGGCGUGACGACGAGGCACUACGGUGCUGAAGCAACAAAUGCCCUGCUUCCAGGAAAAGCCUCUAAGCAUCAGGUAACAUCAAAUCGUACCCCAAACCGACACAGGUGGUCAGGUAGAGAAUACCAAGGCGCUUGAGAGAACUCGGGUGAAGGAACUAGGCAAAAUGGUGCCGUAACUUCGGGAGAAGGCACGCUGACACGUAGGUGAAGUGAUUUACUCAUGGAGCUGAAGUCAGUCGAAGAUACCAGCUGGCUGCAACUGUUUAUUAAAAACACAGCACUGUGCAAACACGAAAGUGGACGUAUACGGUGUGACGCCUGCCCGGUGCCGGAAGGUUAAUUGAUGGGGUCAGCGCAAGCGAAGCUCCUGAUCGAAGCCCCGGUAAACGGCGGCCGUAACUAUAACGGUCCUAAGGUAGCGAAAUUCCUUGUCGGGUAAGUUCCGACCUGCACGAAUGGCGUAAUGAUGGCCAGGCUGUCUCCACCCGAGACUCAGUGAAAUUGAACUCGCUGUGAAGAUGCAGUGUACCCGCGGCAAGACGGAAAGACCCCGUGAACCUUUACUAUAGCUUGACACUGAACAUUGAGCCUUGAUGUGUAGGAUAGGUGGGAGGCUUUGAAGUGUGGACGCCAGUCUGCAUGGAGCCGACCUUGAAAUACCACCCUUUAAUGUUUGAUGUUCUAACGUGGACCCGUAAUCCGGGUUGCGGACAGUGUCUGGUGGGUAGUUUGACUGGGGCGGUCUCCUCCUAAAGAGUAACGGAGGAGCACGAAGGUUGGCUAAUCCUGGUCGGACAUCAGGAGGUUAGUGCAAUGGCAUAAGCCAGCUUGACUGCGAGCGUGACGGCGCGAGCAGGUGCGAAAGCAGGUCAUAGUGAUCCGGUGGUUCUGAAUGGAAGGGCCAUCGCUCAACGGAUAAAAGGUACUCCGGGGAUAACAGGCUGAUACCGCCCAAGAGUUCAUAUCGACGGCGGUGUUUGGCACCUCGAUGUCGGCUCAUCACAUCCUGGGGCUGAAGUAGGUCCCAAGGGUAUGGCUGUUCGCCAUUUAAAGUGGUACGCGAGCUGGGUUUAGAACGUCGUGAGACAGUUCGGUCCCUAUCUGCCGUGGGCGCUGGAGAACUGAGGGGGGCUGCUCCUAGUACGAGAGGACCGGAGUGGACGCAUCACUGGUGUUCGGGUUGUCAUGCCAAUGGCACUGCCCGGUAGCUAAAUGCGGAAGAGAUAAGUGCUGAAAGCAUCUAAGCACGAAACUUGCCCCGAGAUGAGUUCUCCCUGAGACUUUAGGUCUCCUGAAGGAACGUUGAAGACGACGACGUUGAUAGGCCGGGUGUGUAAGCGCAGCGAUGCGUUGAGCUAACCGGUACUAAUGAACCGUGAGGCUUAACCUU
rnacentral:rRNA from 1 species